CAUGCACGGUGCGGAUGAAAAGGGAAUCCGGUGAAAAUCCGGAACAGUACUCGCUGCUGUUAGUCCCCGCCCCCGCAGCCGGGGGAGAAGGUCCGCAGGCACUCUUUGCCACUGGGUUCACCGGGAAGGCGCCUCGGACGGGACGAGUCAGAAGACCUGCCCUGCCAU
rnacentral:ncRNA from 1 species